CUGGUUCUUCACACCUGCCAGGUCUGCCUCCCUACUGGCCUGACCUUCAGGUCUGGAGAGCCUUUGGGAAGGCAUUCCAUUCUGCCCCCCACCAACCCCCCUCCCCCCCAUGAAAGAAGAGGAAAAGGAAAAGAGAAACGACCAAAGGAGACCGUGGAGAAAUGGCCACGGGAGCUUGCCAGAGCUCCCCUUCUGCCGCUGGAUAGGCGAUGCACUGGACUCGGACCAGACCUGGCCCGGUUUCACCCCACAAGGGAACAGCAGCCGGGGCCUUUCUCUGCCGAAGGAGAAUGAAGUCUGGUCCUCUCUGCGGCUCCAGCUCCUGCUGGGCUUUGCUGCCACCUUGUGGCCUAGAUGGCAUCUCUUCCCCCCUCAAGGAGACCAGCCUGGAGAUCUGGCUUCAGUCCCCGCCUGAGGCAAACCUGAGAGCCUUCUCUGAGAAGCUUCUCUACCCUAGGACACCCUGCUUCUGCAGCCCAGCAGCUGGGAGAGAGGGGCAGCCCAGGUUCAUGACCUCACCCAGCUCGACAGGUGUCCUAAUGCCAUGGCCACCAGGAAGUGGCAGCUAAGGACACAGAACGCUGGACCUCGGCCCUCCUUCGCAGCCCCUGCCACCAUCCUCUGCUGCAAGUACUGUCCUCCGGAUUCAGCCAGCCUCCUCAUGAGGGGCGGGAACCUUCCCCUCUGGCUGGGAUCCUAGCUACGCACCCUCCUCUGGUCGUUCCUAGCUCCCCCACCCCACCUCCCCUGUCUGCUCUGGGCCUGACAGGUGCCUAGCUCCCAGUCCCUUUGGGCCCCAGGACAGGGACCCUUGGGGGCCCCAGUGAGAGCACAGUAUGUUGGGAGAGAGCAGAGCCCCACUGGUGGCUUGCGUCUGGGCCUAUGUGCCACUACUGCCGCGAGCCACGUGGCCGUGGAGAGCUGCAUUCCAGGUACCAAAUCGUGGCCUUUGUCCCUUGGGUGGUUCCUAGUGCUCUGCCUCUGUGCCAGACUGUUUCCAAGGAACACGCUAACUUUCUUUGUCCAAGGGCUUGCUGAAGCUUAGUAUGCAGAAUUUCUCGGCUGGUUCCAAGAAUCUGGCUUCGUGUCUUAGUCCCCAAAUUGUAGGAGCUUUGUCAACAGCAGGGAUAAGAGUUGCAGGGAGGAGGAAGGAUCUGGAGUAUUUUCCUUCAUACUCCGUCUCAGCACAGCAACAGCGUAAACCACGGGGGUCACUGGUGGAAGCUUAGCACCCAGAGCGUUCUUCU
rnacentral:lncRNA from 1 species